AAUAAGUGUAGUUUUACACUAUUCACGUCCAACAUUUGACCGUUCGUCUUAUUUGAAAUUUUUUUAUGAUUAAUAUUUUUAUUGCUAUUAGAUGAUAAAACAUAAAUAGUACUUUAUGUGUGACUAAAUAUUUUCAAUAUUUUCAAAAAAAUUUCAAAUAAGACGGAUGGUCAAACGUUAGGUACGAAUAUCUAUGGUUGCAUUUAUU
rfam:Oryza barthii chromosome 3, whole genome shotgun sequence.